GCUGUUGGUGGAUGAGUGGCGAACGGGUGAGUAACACGUGAGUAACCUGCCCCUGAUUUCGGGAUAAGCCUGGGAAACUGGGUCUAAUACCGGAUACGACCUCCUGACGCAUGUUGGGUGGUGGAAAGUUUUUCGAUCGGGGAUGGGCUCGCGGCCUAUCAGCUUGUUGGUGGGGUAAUGGCCUACCAAGGCGACGACGGGUAGCCGGCCUGAGAGGGCGACCGGCCACACUGGGACUGAGACACGGCCCAGACUCCUACGGGAGGCAGCAGUGGGGAAUAUUGCACAAUGGGGGAAACCCUGAUGCAGCGACGCAGCGUGCGGGAUGACGGCCUUCGGGUUGUAAACCGCUUUCAGCAGGGAAGAAGCGAAAGUGACGGUACCUGCAGAAGAAGUACCGGCUAACUACGUGCCAGCAGCCGCGGUAAUACGUAGGGUACGAGCGUUGUCCGGAAUUAUUGGGCGUAAAGAGCUCGUAGGUGGUUGGUCACGUCUGCUGUGGAAACGCAACGCUUAACGUUGCGCGUGCAGUGGGUACGGGCUGACUAGAGUGCAGUAGGGGAGUCUGGAAUUCCUGGUGUAGCGGUGAAAUGCGCAGAUAUCAGGAGGAACACCGGUGGCGAAGGCGGGACUCUGGGCUGUAACUGACACUGAGGAGCGAAAGCAUGGGGAGCGAACAGGAUUAGAUACCCUGGUAGUCCAUGCCGUAAACGUUGGGCACUAGGUGUGGGGGACAUUCCACGUUCUCCGCGCCGUAGCUAACGCAUUAAG
rnacentral:rRNA from 1 species